GCACUCGUAGCUUAGCUGGAUAGAGCAACAGAUUGCGGAUCUGUAGGUCGCCUGUUCGAAUCGGGCCGAGUGCA
rnacentral:tRNA from 1 species